rnacentral:tRNA from 1 species
AGAAACUUAGGAUAAUAA